GGAUCCAGACUUUGACUAUGGCUCAGGAUAAACGCUGGCGGCGCACAUAAGACAUGCAAGUCGAACGAACUUAACCAUUAGUUUACUAGUGGAGCGGUUAGUGGCGGACUGGUGAGUAACACGUAAGCAACCUGCCUAUCAGAGGGGAACAACAGUUAGAAAUGACUGCUAAUACCGCAUAUGCCUUGAGUAUCACAUGGUACAAAAGGGAAAGGAGCAAUCCGCUGAUAGAUGGGCUUGCGUCUGAUUAGAUAGUUGGUGAGGUAACGGCCCACCAAGUCGACGAUCAGUAGCCGGACUGAGAGGUUGAACGGCCACAUUGGGACUGAGAUACGGCCCAGACUCCUACGGGAGGCAGCAGUCGGGAAUAUUGCGCAAUGGAGGAAACUCUGACGCAGUGACGCCGCGUGCAGGAAGAAGGUUUUCGGAUUGUAAACUGCUUUAGACAGGGAAGAAACAAGACAGUACCUGUAGAAUAAGCUCCGGCUAACUACGUGCCAGCAGCCGCGGUAAUACGUAGGGAGCAAGCGUUAUCCGGAUUUAUUGGGUGUAAAGGGUGCGUAGACGGGAAAUUAAGUUAGUUGUGAAAUCCCUCGGCUUAACUGAGGAACUGCAACUAAAACUGGUUUUCUUGAGUGCUGGAGAGGAAAGUGGAAUUCCUAGUGUAGCGGUGAAAUGCGUAGAUAUUAGGAGGAACACCAGUGGCGAAGGCGACUUUCUGGACAGUAACUGACGUUGAGGCACGAAAGUGUGGGGAGCAAACAGGAUUAGAUACCCUGGUAGUCCACACCGUAAACGAUGGAUACUAGGUGUAGGGUGUGAUAAACAUUCUGUGCCGUCGCAAACGCAGUAAGUAUCCCACCUGAGGAGUACGGCCGCAAGGUUGCAACUCAAAUGAAUUGACGG
rnacentral:rRNA from 1 species